rnacentral:rRNA from 1 species
UACGUAGGGUGCAAGCGUUAAUCGGAAUUACUGGGCGUAAAGCGUGCGCAGGCGGUUCGGAAAGUAAGGUGUGAAAUCCCAGGGCUUAACCUUGGAACUGCACUUUUAACUACCGGGCUAGAGUAUGUCAGAGGGGGGUAGAAUUCCACGUGUAGCAGUGAAAUGCGUAGAGAUGUGGAAGAAUACCGAUGGCGAAGGCAGCCCCCUGGGAUAAUACUGACGCUCAUGCACGAAAGCGUGGGGAGCAAACAGG